AACGUAGGACGCAAGCGUUAUCCGGAAUUACUGGGCGUAAAGCGCGUGUAGGUGGUUGCAUAAGUCACUGUUGAAAGCUCCCGGCUAAACUGGGAGAGGUGCGGUGAGACUGUGCGGCUAGAGUACGGGAGAGGGAUGCAGAAUUCCGGGUGUAGUGGUGAAAUGCGUAGAGAUCCGGAGGAAUACCAGAGGCGAAGGCGGCAUCCUGGCCUGAAACUGACACUGAGACGCGAAAGCAUGGGGAGCGAACGGG
rnacentral:rRNA from 1 species